UUGUGAGGAAGAAGGCUAUCAAGUUUUCAUCAAAUCAUUGUGGGGUGGAGCAGAGUCCUGUUUGGUGGGACAGAGGGAAGGAGACGGUUGCUUUCAGCUACAUUACACAGACUUCAAAGAUUCAUAUCACCACCGCUUGAGACUGAUCAUGAAUACAUCUUUUGGAAAACAGCUUAAAAUAAAAUAUUGUUAGAUAUUUCUCAUGGAUGUCUCAACAAAUACUCAAGAAGUUACCUGUGAGGGUGAACAGCUCAUCAAUGUUGACAUUUUAAUUGGACAUCCAGAUAUAAUUUCACCUUAUAAACCUGGAAAUAUUUUAGUUUUUUGAUGCACAGAUGUGACCCUGAAGAUGCAAGGCCAACGAACAAUUGAAUGCCUGUCAAAUCGAAAAUGGGAUUAUCCAUAUCCGAAAUGUGGAGGUAUGAAGAAAUACUAUAGUAAUAUAUUUGUAAAUGUAAAGGUUUUUACAUAAUGCUGCUAAAAUGUUUGUCAUAAUGUAGGUAAUAAUUAUAACGGUAAAUAUAUAAAUGACAAUCUCAAUACAAAAAAAGAAGGAGAAUCAAUGUGGGGUCACACAUUACACAACAGUCCACUUGGAAGAAUCCCUGACAACGCUGUUUCAAUUACAAAACACACGCACAUGAUGUAAGACUCCUCACCCUCGCCUUCUAUUGUGCUGUCUGAUUGGCUGUAGGCUACCGCCGAUAUAAUUUAAACAAAAUGUCUCUCAGGCCAAAGUUCUUGAAGUGUGUUCUUAGAAGGGUGUAGGGCAUUAUUGUCUCGUAUAAGUGCCUGGAUCUCCCUUGGUGAAGGGAAUGACUGACCAGUGACUGAACAAAUGUUACCUUGACAACACUGCUUGUGUGUGCAGCAUUCAGCAUUCCAUCAGUUGUUGCAAAUAAAU